rnacentral:snoRNA from 1 species
UGUGUGCUGGAGGAUGAAAUAAGGAGUGAUCCAUCGGCUAAGUGUCCUACCACUGUGCUGAAACUCAAAUUGCUGACAGUGCACU